rnacentral:rRNA from 1 species
UACGUAGGCAGCGAGCGUUGUUCGGAGUUACUGGGCGUAAAGGGUGUGUAGGCGGUUGCUUAAGUUUGGUGUGAAAUCUCCCGGCUCAACCGGGAGGGUGCGCCGAAUACUGAGUGACUAGAGUGCGGGAGAGGAAAGUGGAAUUCCUGGUGUAGCGGUGAAAUGCGUAGAUAUCACUUGGAACGCCAAUGGUGAAAACAGAUAGCUGGGGUUGUGCUGACACUGAGACACGAAAGCCAGGGGAGCAAACGGG